rnacentral:rRNA from 1 species
GCCCGCUCAGAAACUCAAAGGAAGUUGACGGGGCCCGCACAAGCGGUGGAGUAUGUGGUUUAAUUCGAUGCAACGCGAAGAACCUUACCUGGUCUUGACAUCCCGGAGACCCUUAGGAAACUAGGGGGUGCUUCCAUCUGGAAGAAUCUGGAGACAGGUGCUGCAUGGCUGUCGUCAGCUCGUGUCGUGAGAUGUUGGGUUAAGUCCCGCAACGAGCGCAACCCUUGCCUUUAGUUGCCAGCAGUUCGGCUGGGCACUCUAAAGGGACUGCCGGUGUUAAACCGGAGGAAGGUGGAGAUGACGUCAAGUCCUCAUGGCCUUUAUGACCAGGGCUACACACGUACUACAAUGGCCGAUACAAAGGGCAGCGACACUGCGAGGUGAAGCCAAUCCCGUAAAAUCGGUCUCAGUCCGGAUUGGAGUCUGCAACUCGACUCCAUGAAGUUGGAAUCGCUAGUAAUCGUGGAUCAGCAUGCCACGGUGAAUACGUUCCCGGGCCUU